CCUACGGGAGGCUGCAGUAGGGAAUAUUGCUCAAUGGGGGAAACCCUGAAGCAGCAACGCCGCGUGGACGAGGGAGGUUUUCGGAUUGUAAACUCCUUUUGUUAGGGAAGAUAAUGACGGUAUCUAACGAAUAAGCACCGGCUAACUCCGUGCCAGCAGCCGCGGUAAUACGGAGGGUGCAAGCGUUACUCGGAAUCACUGGGCGUAAAGAGCGCGUAGGCGGGAUAGCAAGUCAGAUGUGAAAUCCUAUGGCUUAACCACAGAACUGCACUUGAAACUGGUAGUCUAGAGUGUGGGAGAGGUAGGUGGAAUUCUUGGUGUAGGGGUGAAAUGCGUAGAGAUCAAGAGGAAUACUGAUUGCGAAGGCGACCUGCUGGAACGUAACUGACGCUGAGGCGCGAAAGCGUGGGGAGCAAACAGGAUUAGAUACCCUAGUAGUC
rnacentral:rRNA from 1 species